rnacentral:rRNA from 1 species
GAUGAACGCUGGCGGCGUGCCUAAUACAUGCAAGUCGAGCGAACGGACGAGAAGCUUGCUUCUCUGAUGUUAGCGGCGGACGGGUGAGUAACACGUGGAUAACCUACCUAUAAGACUGGGAUAACUUCGGGAAACCGCAGCUAAUACCGGAUAAUAUUUUGAACCGCAUGGUUCAAAAGUGAAAGACGGUCUUGCUGUCACUUAUAGAUGGAUCCGCGCUGCAUUAGCUAGUUGGUAAGGUAACGGCUUACCAAGGCAACGAUGCAUAGCCGACCUGAGAGGGUGAUCGGCCACACUGGAACUGAGACACGGUCCAGACUCCUACGGGAGGCAGCAGUAGGGAAUCCUCCGCAAUGGGCGAAAGCCUGACGGAGCAACGCCGCGUGAGUGAUGAAGGUCUUCGGAUCGUAAAACUCUGUUAUUAGGGAAGAACAUAUGUGUAAGUAACUGUGCACAUCUUGACGGUACCUAAUCAGAAAGCCACGGCUAACUACGUG